GGGGUCGAUCGGUUUCGACAUGUCGAUUUGAGACUGUGAGAAGCGUGCCGAGGAUGUGAGUCAUCUCGUAAACGAUCUUGCAAAAAAUAGGUGCAAACAAGAAGAGCACCGACUUCGCUCUCGCUGCUUGAGCGCGAGACCCAAGUCCGUUGGCCAGAGUUAGUUUCCGCCUCUGCUGCUAGCGUCAUCUAGGAAACUUGCUGCUGUGUUGCGUCACCGGGCACAGCGGGACUUUUUACUGUGACUGGGCCUGUCGUUUAAGGUGUUCAUAACGAUAAACGGGGCCGAGUAGAACGUGCAACGAACUACGCACGUAGAAGGCACAGAAUCGUCGAUGUGGACCCGGGUUCAAUUCCCGGCGACUCCACUA
rnacentral:tmRNA from 1 species